rnacentral:rRNA from 1 species
UACGGGGGGUGCGAGCGUUGUCCGGAAUCACUGGGCGUAAAGGGCGCGUAGGUGGUUUGAUAAGCCUGUGGUGAAAGUCCGGGGCUCAACCCCGGAUCUGCCGUGUGGACUGUCAGACUCGAGGACUGUAGAGGCAGGCGGAAUUCCGGGUGUAGCGGUGGAAUGCGUAGAGAUCCGGAGGAACACCAGUGGCGAAGGCGACUUUCUGGCCUGUUCUUGACGCUGAGGCGCGAAAGCUAGGGGAGCAAACGGG